CGGAGGGUGCGAGCGUUGUCCGGAUUUAUUGGGUUUAAAGGGUGCGUAGGUGGCUGUUUAAGUCAGUGGUGUAAUACGGUUGCUCAACAAUCGAGGUGCCAUUGAUACUGAAUAGCUUGAAAUAAUUGGAGGCUGCCGGAAUGGGUGGUGUAGCGGUGAAAUGCAUAGAUAUCAUCCAGAACACCGAUUGCGAAGGCAGGUGGCUACGAUUGGUUUGACACUGAGGCACGAAAGCAUGGGGAGCAAACAGGAUUAGAUACCCUGGUAGUCCAUGCUGUAAACGAUGAGGACUCGCUGUUUGAUGGCAACAUUGAGCGGCUUAGGGAAACCGUUAAGUCCUCCACCUGGGGAGUACGCCGGCAACGGUG
rnacentral:rRNA from 1 species